rnacentral:rRNA from 1 species
CCGAUAGUGAACCAGUACCGUGAGGGAAAGGCGAAAAGAACCCCGGCGAGGGGAGUGAAAAAGAACCUGAAACCGUGUACGUACAAGCAGUGGGAGCACCCUUUGGGUGUGACUGCGUACCUUUUGUAUAAUGGGUCAGCGACUUAUAUUCUGUAGCAAGGUUAACCGAAUAGGGGAGCCGGAGGGAAACCGAGUCUUAAUUGGGCGUUAAGUUGCAGGGUAUAGACCCGAAACCCGGUGAUCUAGCCAUGGGCAGGUUGAAGGUUGGGUAACACUAACUGGAGGACCGAACCGACUAAUGUUGAAAAAUUAGCGGAUGACCUGUGGCUGGGGGUGAAAGGCCAAUCAAACCGGGAGAUAGCUGGUUCUCCCCGAAAGCUAUUUAGGUAGCGCCUCGUGAAUUCAUCUCCGGGGGUAGAGCACUGUUUCGGCUAGGGGGCCAUCCCGGCUUACCAACCCGAUGCAAACUGCGAAUACCGGAGAAUGUUAUCACGGGAGACACACGGCGGGUGCUAACGUCCGUCGUGAAGAGGGAAACAACCCAGACCGCCAGCUAAGGUCCCAAAGUCAUGGUUAAGUGGGAAACGAUGUGGGAAGGCCCAGACAGCCAGGAUGUUGGCUUAGAAGCAGCCAUCAUUUAAAGAAAGCGUAAUAGCUCACUGGUCGAGUCGGCCUGCGCGGAAGAUGUAACGGGGCUAAACCAUGCACCGAAGCUGCGGCAGCGACACUGUGUGUUGUUGGGUAGGGGAGCGUUCUGUAAGCCUGCGAAGGUGGCCUGUGAGGGUUGCUGGAGGUAUCAGAAGUGCGAAUGCUGACAUAAGUAACGAUAAAGCGGGUGAAAAGCCCGCUCGCCGGAAGACCAAGGGUUCCUGUCCAACGUUAAUCGGGGCAGGGUGAGUCGACCCCUAAGGCGAGGCCGAAAGGCGUAGUCGAUGGGAAACGGGUUAAUAUUCCCGUACUUGGUGUUACUGCGAAGGGGGGACGGAGAAGGCUAUGUUGGCCGGGCGACGGUUGUCCCGGUUUAAGCGUGUAGGCUGGUUUUCCAGGCAAAUCCGGAAAAUCAAGGCUGAGGCGUGAUGACGAGGCACUACGGUGCUGAAGCAACAAAUGCCCUGCUUCCAGGAAAAGCCUCUAAGCAUCAGGUAACAUCAAAUCGUACCCCAAACCGACACAGGUGGUCAGGUAGAGAAUACCAAGGCGCUUGAGAGAACUCGGGUGAAGGAACUAGGCAAAAUGGUGCCGUAACUUCGGGAGAAGGCACGCUGACACGUAGGUGAAGUGAUUUACUCAUGGAGCUGAAGUCAGUCGAAGAUACCAGCUGGCUGCAACUGUUUAUUAAAAACACAGCACUGUGCAAACACGAAAGUGGACGUAUACGGUGUGACGCCUGCCCGGUGCCGGAAGGUUAAUUGAUGGGGUCAGCGCAAGCGAAGCUCCUGAUCGAAGCCCCGGUAAACGGCGGCCGUAACUAUAACGGUCCUAAGGUAGCGAAAUUCCUUGUCGGGUAAGUUCCGACCUGCACGAAUGGCGUAAUGAUGGCCAGGCUGUCUCCACCCGAGACUCAGUGAAAUUGAACUCGCUGUGAAGAUGCAGUGUACCCGCGGCAAGACGGAAAGACCCCGUGAACCUUUACUAUAGCUUGACACUGAACAUUGAGCCUUGAUGUGUAGGAUAGGUGGGAGGCUUUGAAGUGUGGACGCCAGUCUGCAUGGAGCCGACCUUGAAAUACCACCCUUUAAUGUUUGAUGUUCUAACGUGGACCCGUUACCCGGGUUGCGGACAGUGUCUGGUGGGUAGUUUGACUGGGGCGGUCUCCUCCUAAAGAGUAACGGAGGAGCACGAAGGUUGGCUAAUCCUGGUCGGACAUCAGGAGGUUAGUGCAAUGGCAUAAGCCAGCUUGACUGCGAGCGUGACGGCGCGAGCAGGUGCGAAAGCAGGUCAUAGUGAUCCGGUGGUUCUGAAUGGAAGGGCCAUCGCUCAACGGAUAAAAGGUACUCCGGGGAUAACAGGCUGAUACCGCCCAAGAGUUCAUAUCGACGGCGGUGUUUGGCACCUCGAUGUCGGCUCAUCACAUCCUGGGGCUGAAGUAGGUCCCAAGGGUAUGGCUGUUCGCCAUUUAAAGUGGUACGCGAGCUGGGUUUAGAACGUCGUGAGACAGUUCGGUCCCUAUCUGCCGUGGGCGCUGGAGAACUGAGGGGGGCUGCUCCUAGUACGAGAGGACCGGAGUGGACGCAUCACUGGUGUUCGGGUUGUCAUGCCAAUGGCACUGCCCGGUAGCUAAAUGCGGAAGAGAUAAGUGCUGAAAGCAUCUAAGCACGAAACUUGCCCCGA